AUGAACGCUGGCUACCGGCUUAACACCUGCCAGUCGAGGGGAAACGGCAUUGAGUGCUUGCACUGAAUGGACGUCGACCGGCGCACGGGUGAGUAACGCGUAUCCAACCUUCCCGUUACUGCGGGAUAACCUGCCGAAAGGCAGACUAAUACCACAUGUUCUUCGAUGACGGCAUCAGAUUCGAAGCAAAGAUCCGCCGGGAACGGAGGGGGAUGCGUCUGGUUAGCGAGUUGGUGGGGUGACGGCCCACCAAGGCGUCGAUCAGUAGGGGUUCUGAGAGGACGGGCCCCCACAGUGGAACUGAGACACGGGCCAAACGCCUACGGGAGGCAGCAGUGAGGAAUAUUGGUCGAGGGGCGGAAGCCUGAACCAGCCAAGUAGCGGGCAGGAUGACGGCCCUACGGGUUGUAAACUGCUUUUAUGCGGGGAUAAAGUGAGGGACGCGGCCCUUUUGGCAGGAACCGCAGGAAGAAGGACCGGCUAAUUCCGU
rnacentral:rRNA from 1 species